UACGGGGGGGGGCUAGCGUUGCUCGGAUUGACUGGGCGUAAAGGGCGCGUAGGCGGUUCGUACAGUCAGACGUGAAAUUCCUGGGCUCAACCUGGGGGCUGCGUUUGAUACGUGCGGACUUGAGUGCGGAAGAGGGUCGUGGAAUUCCCAGUGUAGAGGUGAAAUUCGUAGAUAUUGGGAAGAACACCGGUGGCGAAGGCGGCGACCUGGUCCGAUACUGACGCUGAGGCGCGAAAGCGUGGGGAGCAAACAGG
rnacentral:rRNA from 1 species